AGAGUUUGAUCCUGGCUCAGGAUGAAUUCUAGCGACAGGCUUAACACAUGCAAGUCGAGGGGCAGCGCGGUGGUGGCAACACCACCGGCGGCGACCGGCGCACGGGUGAGUAACACGUAUGCAACCUGCCCUCCACAGGGGGAUAAUCGGGAGAAAUCCCGUCUAAUACCGCAUAACGCCAACCGGGGGCAUCCCCGGUUGGCCAAAGGAGCGAUCCGGUGGGGGCUGGGCAUGCGCCGCAUUAGCCAGUUGGCGGGGUAACGGCCCACCAAGGCGACGAUUCGUAGGGGUUCUGAGAGGAAGGUCCCCCACACUGGUACUGAGACACGGACCAGACUCCUACGGGAGGCAGCAGUGAGGAAUAUUGGUCAAUGGGCGGAAGCCUGAACCAGCCAAGUCGCGUGAGGGAAGACGGUCCUAUGGAUUGUAAACCUCUUUUGUCGGGGAGCAAGGGGCGCCACGAGUGGCGUCAAGCGAGAGUACCCGAAGAAAAAGCAUCGGCUAACUCCGUGCCAGCAGCCGCGGUAAUACGGAGGAUGCGAGCGUUAUCCGGAUUUAUUGGGUUUAAAGGGUGCGUAGGCGGCACGCCAAGUCAGCGGUGAAAUUUCCGGGCUCAACCCGGAGUGUGCCGUUGAAACUGGCGAGCUAGAGUACACAAGAGGCAGGCGGAAUGCGUGGUGUAGCGGUGAAAUGCAUAGAUAUCACGCAGAACCCCGAUUGCGAAGGCAGCCUGCUAGGGUGAAACAGACGCUGAGGCACGAAAGCGUGGGUAUCGAACAGGAUUAGAUACCCUGGUAGUCCACGCAGUAAACGAUGAAUACUAACUGGUUUGCGAUACAAUGUAAGCGGUACAGCGAAAGCGUUAAGUAUUCCACCUGGGGAGUACGCCGGGCAACGGUGAAACUCAAAGGAAUUGACGGGGGCCCGCACAAGCGGAGGAACAUGUGGUUUAAUUCGAUGAUACGCGAGGAACCUUACCCGGGCUCAAACGACGCAGGAAUGUUUUUGAAAGGAGGCAGCCCUUCGGGGCCUGCGUCGAGGUGCUGCAUGGUUGUCGUCAGCUCGUGCCGUGAGGUGUCGGCUUAAGUGCCAUAACGAGCGCAACCCCCAUUGACAGUUGCUAACAGGUAAAGCUGAGGACUCUGUCGAGACUGCCGGCGCAAGCUGUGAGGAAGGCGGGGAUGACGUCAAAUCAGCACGGCCCUUACGUCCGGGGCGACACACGUGUUACAAUGGCAGGUACAGCGGGAGGCCACCUGGCGACAGGGAGCGGAACCCGAAAGCCUGUCUCAGUUCGGAUUGGAGUCUGCAACCCGACUCCAUGAAGCUGGAUUCGCUAGUAAUCGCGCAUCAGCCACGGCGCGGUGAAUACGUUCCCGGGCCUUGCACACACCGCCCGUCA
rnacentral:rRNA from 1 species